rnacentral:rRNA from 1 species
UACGUAGGGUGCAAGCGUUGUCCGGAUUUAUUGGGCGUAAAGAGCUCGUAGGCGGUUUUGAAAGUCAGGUGUGAAACCUCCAGGCUCAACCUGGAGACGCCACUUGAUACUUCAAUGACUUGAGUACGGUAGGGGUAAGCGGAAUUCCUGGUGUAGCGGUGAAAUGCACAGAUAUCAGGAGGAACACCGAUGGCGAAGGCAGCUUACUGGGCCGAUACUGACGCUGAGGAGCGAAAGCGUGGGGAGCGAACAGG